UGCCAAGAAACCUAAUCACAAUAGACAUGCGCCUUAGAARCAUAUAAAAUGUGAYAAUAACAACAGCUCUUUGGAGCUCCCUCUCAGCUGGUCUGGGACCCCCCCUUAUAGCAUCCUGCACMCUUGAGACCCUCGCCCGAYRUGGAACAGGUCGUAUUACCCCUGCUUGCUCUGUAUGUAGUGUAGUGUGUUAUUUUUACCCUGUUAAAUACGGAACUUGCUAUAUUGUUUAAACUCUCUUGCUUAAGGAUACUGGUGUACUUAAUAAAUAUCUGAAACCUGAUAACCGCCUGGCUGUUUGGUCAGUGAAGUGUUAAAAGAAAAAAUACAAGUCACCCCGCUGGCCACGAGCGGUGUUCGUGACAGAUAGGGUCUUAUUUAAUUUGGAAUUGCACAUCUUCCAUCCUUUAUGAUUUUCUUGUUUCAGUUUUCUAUCUAGUUCGGCCCUGCAUUGCCUACCAGCAGUGUUCUGGCUUAAGAAAAUUGGAUGAGAAGCUCUAGAGAUUCUGUACUUUAACCAGCUAAAACGGUAACAAAUGAAAGAUUUCAUGAUGCUUCCCUGUGUGAAGAAAGUGCAGUGAAAUUUUAUGAAGCUUCAGUCUGCCAGAAGCCAGUUUACAGAAGGAUCCAUGAGAUCUAUUGCCUGUGUUGAUAGUGGUGUAUUACAAUGUCAAUACUCUAUGUUUUUCACUUUGAAGACUGCCUGCAAGCUAUAACAAGCAAACAUGUUUAUAGCAUCACUGUGAAAAUCCUUUUGCUGUAACCCAGUCCUAUCUGCCGUAAGCUGCAAGAAAGGUGAGCAAAACACCAGCCUCUGCCAAUUUGGUGUAGCAAGAAAAAUGACUGUUUGGGGUCAGAAAAGUACUCUGCAACAUCAGAGAAGACACAGCUGAGGGGAAGGUGAGUAACAUGGCAGUUAGAUAUGGGAAAAAGACUUUC
rnacentral:lncRNA from 1 species